UACGAAGGGGGCUAGCGUUGCUCGGAAUUACUGGGCGUAAAGGGCGCGUAGGCGGACUAGUUUUAGCAGAGGUGAAAGCCCACGGGCUCAACCUUGGAAUGAGCCUUUGAUACUGACUGAUCUUGAGUUCGGGAGAGGUGAGUGGGAAUGCCGAGUGUAGAGGUGAAAUUCGUAGAUAUUCGCAAGAACACCAGUGGCGA
rnacentral:rRNA from 1 species